rnacentral:rRNA from 1 species
GAUGAACGCUGGCGGCGUGCCUUAGGCAUGCAAGUCGAACGGGAACAGUAGCAAUACUGUUUCAGUGGCAGACGGGUGAGUAACGCGUAGGAAUCUACCCCUCGGUGGACCAUAGCCAUCCGAAAGGAUGGGUAAUAGUCCAUGGUUCUCGUAAGAGUAAAGCACUUAACUGUGCGCCAAGGGAGGAGCCUGCGUCCUAUCAGCUAGUUGGCGGGGUAAAUGCCCACCAAGGCUCUGACGGGUAGCUGGACUGAGAGGUCGAUCAGCCACAACUGCA